rnacentral:rRNA from 1 species
GAUGAACGCUGGCGGCGUGCCUAAUACAUGCAAGUCGAGCGAAUGGAUUAAGAGCUUGCUCUUAUGAAGUUAGCGGCGGACGGGUGAGUAACACGUGGGUAACCUGCCCACAAGACUGGGAUAACUCCGGGAAACCGGGGCUAAUACCGGAUAACAUUUUGAACCGCAUGGUUCGAAAUUGAAAGGCGGCUUCGGCUGUCACUUAUGGAUGGACCCGCGUCGCAUUAGCUAGUUGGUGGGGUAACGGCUCACCAAGGCAACGAUGCGUAGCCGACCUGAGAGGGUGAUCGGCCACACUGGGACUGAGACACGGCCCAGACUCCUACGGGAGGCAGCAGUAGGGAAUCUUCCGCAAUGGACGAAAGUCUGACGGAGCAAUGCCGCGUGAGUGAUGAAGGCUUUCGGGUCGUAAAACUCUGUUGUUAGGGAAGAACAAGUGCUAGUUGAAUAAGCUGGCACCUUGACGGUACCUAACCAGAAAGCCACGGCUAACUACGUGCCAGCCGCCGCCGUAA